GGAAUAUAAGAACCCGUCUCUUAACUUUUAAUUAAAAAAACUAAGAACCGGCUCUUAAAUAAGAGAUUUUUUAAGAACCGGUUCUUAACUUUUUUAGUUAAAAUUUAAGAGACGGGCUCUUAUAUUCC
rfam:Brassica oleracea var. oleracea cultivar TO1000 chromosome C5, whole genome shotgun sequence